CCUACGGGUGGCAGCAGUGAGGAAUAUUGGUCAAUGGACGGAAGUCUGAACCAGCCAUGCCGCGUGCAGGAAGACGGCUCUAUGAGUUGUAAACUGCUUUUGUACAAGGGUAAACCUGAAUACGGGUAUUCAGCUGAAAGUACUGUACGAAUAAGCCUCGGCUAACACCGUGCCAGCAGCCGCGGUAAUACGGAGGAUCCAAGCGUUAUCCGGAUUUUUUGGGUGUAAAGGGUGCGUAGGCGGAUGGAUAAGUUAGAGGUGAAAUGUCCGGGCUCAACUCGGGAACUGCCUCUAACACUGUUGAGCUAGAGAGUAGGUGCGGUAGGUGGAAUGGAUGGUGUAGCGGUGAAAUGCGUAGAGAUCAUACAGAACACCGGUGGCGAAGGCAGCUUACCAAUCUAUAUCUGACGUUGAGGCACGAAAGCGUGGGGAGCAAACAGGAUUAGAUACCCCUGUAGUC
rnacentral:rRNA from 1 species